rnacentral:misc_RNA from 1 species
UGGCUUGGAUUAUUAUAGUAGCCUUGGUAGUUUGGAUUGUAAUUGUGUGAGGCGACCGGAACCGGCGUGGCUGGUCCAGAGGUCCAGGAACCGUAGUGGUAACCUGGACUUCCGCUGCCUGUCCCACCGCCCGCGAAGAUGUCUGGAUCGCUGGUCUUGCUGGGUACCAAUGGCAACGAGGUCGACGAGGUUCCGUGACUUGGAUACAUGGAGACGCAGUUCGGCGUGUACGUGUCCUGUUGACUGUCUGAUGGAAGAACUGCAAGAUUUGAGACAGACUGUGCAGUUGUUGUUAGAUACAUAUUUCGAGAAAAAAGCAUAGACGUCUCUGCUCGUAAAUCUGCACAACCGGUGAUCUCGAAUAGAACGUGUUAAUUGAUCCAGAUCGUUAGAGAAAUAAUUAAUUAGUUAGAAUUUUGUAUUGUACGAGAUAAAGAUCCAAGAUACACGGAUCCAGAGAAGAGUUGCGAAUACUAU